GUCUCCCGUCAAAUCUAGCAUUCCCGGUGUUCAUCGCCCCCGCACUCGAUCCCUUCUGCCUGGGGUUCCAACGGGAAGUCCGAGUCACGGGACUCACCUGCUUCCUCACGUGGUGACCUGGCGCCCUGCUUUCCCAGUGUGCCCCUGGCUGCUGUCGCAUCCACACCCCUGCUCUCAGCCCGCCCGUGCCCUUCCCGGGUUUCGGCGCUGAUCCCCCAUCGGUGCUGAAGCGAGUUCAUUCGAGAGCAAGAAAUGAGACAUCACGGAAGCUCCUGGCAGGGCCCCCUGUCCUCCGCUGACUUUAUUAAGUCCCACUGUCAACAGCAGUAAUGUCUUCAAUGCUGUUUGAAA